rnacentral:lncRNA from 1 species
CGACUGGGAACGCUGGGGAGCACUGAGCAGCACUGGGGAGCAUGGGGUUCAACUUCCCUUCCCCAAAGCUGAUGGAAAGCAAAAGGGCAGAUUUAGGAUUUCUUGGAAAGAUUGGGGUGCCUGCAAGAGGAGACCGACAUUUAUAUCCCCACGAUAGGAACCUGCUUCAAGGGAGGGCGCUUUGCCUAGGCCAUGGUCCUGAAUGGGGGAGUGGAGAGAGAGCAUGGGGAGGCCUGCGGGCCUAACCAUGUGCUAAAGGAUGAGGACUGGGCUGCGUCUUGGCAAUGUGCAUGUAUGUGUGUGUGCAUGUGUGUGUGCGUGCACACGUGUGUGCCGGUGUGCACAUGUUUGCACGUGUGCAUAUGUGUGUGUUCUGGUGAAGAGGCAGGUGCACUGAGAGCUAAAUGCCACUCACUGAAGGUCACUUAGAAUCGAUGGCCAAGCUGGCCAGUGCCCAAGGGAGCUUCACCUGAAGAAGCCCCUUGUUGGCAAAAUAUACUGAGCUUCCACACGGCCUGUGUGGACACUGACCAGAAGUGUCCCACGCCAGGUCGGCCAGAAGAGAGAAGAUGCAGCUGGAGCCUCCUCAGUCCAUCAGACAGAUCUACCCUGAGGUAGAGGAAGGAGAAGACAAACCAGCAGGAUGCAGAGAGGGACUGACUCUCAAACGCCACUGUCAUGAGCUCAUUUCAGCAACCAAAGAGCUGAAGACUCACGCACAGCAGCCAAGGCAGGGCUGGG